AGUUUUGACUUGUACCGCAAUGUGAACGAAACGGUUUGUUUGUUCUUAAUCUGUCAUCCAUCGGGUAGUAGCUAAUUUUGUUCUUUCACGUAUGUUUGUUUCAUCAACGGUAGUAGCUACCAGUUUUAAUUAAUGUAUACCCGUGUGGUAGCUCAUCUUUCUUUCGAUGAGCAUUAAUUAAUCUGUCGCCCGCCUUAGCUAGGCCGGCCUCGUGACAGGUGUUUGUAGACUGCCUCGUUAAGGAACCUGCCGGUGGCGCCGAACGGUAGAAGAGGAUCCGGAACCUUCAGAAGGUUGCCUCCGCCGCCGAACCCGUAGUAGCCGCGUCUGCGGCCGCGGCCGCGGCCGCGGCCGCUCGCGUCUAUGAAGUCGUCUUCGUCCAAGAGCGGUAGGGGGAGCUCGUCUCUUCCGUACCGUUGUUCGGAGGAGAAGGCGCAGGGGACCACGUGUAGGUACCGAAGGGAGAGGAGAGGAGACCAGCGCAUCGAACUAAGAAGAAGAGAGGACACCAAAGGGGGAAAGGGG
rnacentral:rRNA from 1 species